GACGAACGCUGGCGGCGUGCUUAACACAUGCAAGUCGAACGGAAAGGCCCUGCUUUUGUGGGGUGCUCGAGUGGCGAACGGGUGAGUAACACGUGAGUAACCUGCCCUUGACUUUGGGAUAACUUCAGGAAACUGGGGUUAUACCGGGUAAGAGCUUCUGGUGCCUGGUGGGGGGUGGAAAAGUUUGGCGGUUGGGGAUGGACUCGGGGCUUAUCAGGUUGUUGGUGGGGUAGUGGCUUACCAAGGCUUUGACGGGUAGCCGGCCUGAGAGGGUGACCGGCCACAUUGGGACUGAGAUACGGCCCAGACUCCUACGGGAGGCAGCAGUGGGGAAUAUUGCACAAUGGGCGGAAGCCUGAUGCAGCAACGCCGCGUGCGGGAUGACGGCCUUCGGGUUGUAAACCGCUUUCGCCUGUGACGAAGCGUGAGUGACGGUAAUGGGUAAAGAAGCACCGGCUAACUACGUG
rnacentral:rRNA from 1 species